AUGCUUACCUCAUGGGGAAUACCAUGGUUCAGAAGGUGGUUUACUCAGAGUUAGGCUCUUUUAUUGCAUAGUUUGGUUGGAAUGAUACCUGUGAUUUCCACAAACAUGGUAAAUUCAGCUCUAUAAUUGAUAGUUUUAAGCUGCUGAAAAAAAACAGAUCUGCUUC